UACGGAGGGUGCAAGCGUUAUCCGGAUUUACUGGGUUUAAAGGGUGCGUAGGUGGGUAGAUAAGUCAGCGGUGAAAUCUCCGGGCUUAACUCGGAAACUGCCAUUGAUACUAUCUGUCUUGAAUAUCCUGGAGGUGAGCGAAAUAUGUCAUGUAGCGGUGAAAUGCUUAGAUAUGACAUAGAACACCCAUUGCGAAGGCAGCUCACUACGGGAUUAUUGACACUGAGGCACGAAAGCGUGGGGAUCAAACAGG
rnacentral:rRNA from 1 species